rfam:Schistosoma mansoni strain Puerto Rico chromosome 3, complete genome
AUCCGGCUGACGAGUCCCAAAUAGGACGAAACGCUUGUCAAGCUGGAU